rnacentral:rRNA from 1 species
AUUGAACGCUGGCGGCAGGCUUAACACAUGCAAGUCGAGCGGGGARRGGUAGCUUGCUACMUKWCCUAGCGGCGGACGGGUGAGUAAUGCUUAGGAAUCUGCYUAUUAGUGGGGGACAACAUUCCGAAAGGAAUGCUAAUACCGCAUACGCCCUACGGGGGAAAGCAGGGGAUCUUCGGACCUUGCGCUAAUAGAUGAGCCUAAGUCAGAUUAGCUAGUUGGUGGGGUAAAGGCCUACCAAGGCGACGAUCUGUAGCGGGUCUGAGAGGAUGAUCCGCCACACUGGGACUGAGACACGGCCCAGACUCCUACGGGAGGCAGCAGUGGGGAAUAUUGGACAAUGGGCGAAAGCCUGAUCCAGCCAUGCCGCGUGUGUGAAGAAGGCCUUUUGGUUGUAAAGCACUUUAAGCGAGGAGGAGGCUAC